UCCCUGAGACCCUAGAGUUGUCGAGAAGUCCCUAGCCUCUUUUCACGCGGCAACUCUAAUGUCCCGGGUUA
rnacentral:pre_miRNA from 1 species